AGGUGCUGCAUGGCUGUCGUCAGCUCGUGCUGUGAAGUGUUCGGUUAAGUCCGGCAACGAGCGCAACCCAUACCUUACUUGCUAACAGGUAAUGCUGAGAACAUUAAGGAGACUGCCCGUGUUAAGCGGGAGGAAGGUGUGGACGACGUCAAGUCAGUAUGGCCCUUACACCCGGGGCUGCACACGUGCUACAAUGGCCGGUACAAAGGGCAGCGACAUAGUGAUAUGGAGCGAAUCCCCAAAACCGGUCUCAGUACGGAUUGGAGUCUGCAACUCGACUCCAUGAAGAUGGAAUCGCUAGUAAAUGGGCAUCAGCUACGGCUCAUUGAAUACGUUCCCGGGCCUUGUACACACCGCCCGUCACAUCAUGGGAGCUGAGUUCACCCGAAGUCGUUGCGCCAACCUGCUUGCAGGAGGCAGACGCCGAAGGUGGGCUUAGUGACUGGGAUGAAGUCGUAACAAGGUAGCCGUUGGGGAACCAGCGGCUGGAUCACCUCCUUU
rnacentral:ncRNA from 1 species